GGGGAAUAUUGCGCAAUGGGGGGAACCCUGACGCAGCCAUGCCGCGUGAAUGAAGAAGGCCUUAGGGUUGUAAAGUUCUUUCGGUAUUGAGGAAGGUUGAUGUGUUAAUAGCACAUCAAAUUGACGUUAAAUACAGAAGAAGCACCGGCUAACUCCGUGCCAGCAGCCGCGGUAAUACGGAGGGUGCGAGCGUUAAUCGGAAUAACUGGGCGUAAAGGGCACGCAGGCGGUUAUUUAAGUGAGGUGUGAAAGCCCCGGGCUUAACCUGGGAAUUGCAUUUCAGACUGGGUAACUAGAGUACUUUAGGGAGGGGUAGAAUUCCACGUGUAGCGGUGAAAUGCGUAGAGAUGUGGAGGAAUACCGAAGGCGAAGGCAGCCCCUUGGGAAUGUACUGACGCUCAUGUGCGAAAGCGUGGGGAGCAAACAGGAUUAGAUACCCUGGUAGUCCGCGCUGUAAACGCUGUCGAUUUGGGGGUUGGGGUUUAACUCUGGCGCCCGUAGCUAACGUGAUAAAUCGACCGCCUGGGGAGUACGGCCGCAAGGUUA
rnacentral:rRNA from 1 species